rnacentral:rRNA from 1 species
AAUCAACGCUGGCGGCGUGCCUCAGACAUGCAAGUCGAACGAAUUAAAGCUCUCUUCGGAGGGUGUAUAGAGUGGCGCACGGGUGAGUAACACGUAAGUAAUCUACCCUCGGGUGGGAAUAACAUCGGGAAACCGAUGCUAAUACCGCAUAAUGCAGCGGCUCCUAAUGGAGACAGUUAGUUAAAGGAUUUAUUCGCCUGAGGAGGAGCUUGCGGCAGAUUAGCAGUUGGUAA